GACGAUACGAUCGUCUCGGAACGAUGAAUCGACGAAUCGAUCACAGUAUUUAACCACGAUUCAACGACGUGUCGCCGUUUCGUUGCACCUGCUGCAGCUGCACCGCAAACGAUUAAGCGGGCGUGCACGCGUUUAUCGCGUGACGGUUACGCAGAUGCGCGCGCAUGUCCCCCCCCCCCCAAACCAAACUUACUCCAGCUUGUUUUGCUCGGCUCGCGCUACAUUUUGCCAGAAAAUUCACAUUUGAUAUUUUUCUUUACAAAUUGUACGUGCAUAGUGAUUACACACAUGGGAUAGAAAACUACACGGACGAGAUGUUUGUCUUCCUAAUUUGUACUGAAUGAUUCUCAAGUAUCUACAGUACAGAAAUAAUAAGAAUGUAUAAUGCGUAUGCAUAUACUUGCAUUGUAUGAUCGUCUCUUAUAGUAUGGCAAUUUUUCAUCUCGGUAUAAGCGAAAGUACAGGAGGAAUUCAAUGAAGCAUAAAUAACGAAACGGUAAAAAGAAUGACAGAAUAACAAUGAAACGGCUAAACAAAGUAAAACGCUUGAGAUAAAUAAAAGUACAUCCAAAAGAGGAGUUAUUUGAAUGACAAAAGCGAUUAUUACCAUUCCGUUGGCAAGUUUCCAGUUACGUGAAAAUCGUGGACACAGUCUAGCUAACAGAAAAUAACAAAAUAAACUAAUCUACUUUCUCAAUAAAAUUAUUCAACCACACGCGUUACGAUGCUAAUGAUCCAUUAACGAGCAACUUCACAAGUUUCAAUAAAUUUAUGAAAACACGCCAAUUCUCGCACACACAGUGCAGGGGAUGUCAUAUGCCAACCAACAAUUUACACGGUCCAAGCACAGUUUCCAAAUAUUAUUCGAAUUUUUCAACUUGUUUCUCGAUCGAUGGAAAAUUAUUUACGUGAGCGUAUCAGAGGAAGAACAUUGGUAUAAAUCGGUCUGUUUGGCAUAAAAAUUACGCAGUAUCCAAGAGAAUGUAUUUUUGGGAAAUUUCGAAUAAUAUCUCACUCGAUUAUUAUGAUAUCGGUGAAAAAAAAUGAAGAGGCAGGAAUGGUGAUGACUAUUCAAAGAAGCGACAUCUCGCAAAAUUACUGUACUU